AACCAAGCUUGAGCCACCAUUGGCAGGUGUGAGGCACAGGAAGUGAGGUGGAGAACAGACUCUGGAGUUCACUCACUUCCUGUGGACAGGGCUAGAGUCAGUUAGAUUCUGGAGCUCGAGCUGGGAGGAGGCCCACAGACAGCUUUCCUUCAAAUCAGUCAUAUGAACCUUCAGUUCUCUUGAGAGCAAAGAAGAAUGUAAUCACAUGGAUAAUGCUACAAACUGAGCUUGCUGAUGCUUCCCAGUUUGGGGUGAAGAUAUAAAACUUCAAAUGUUUCGAUUUGCCAGCAUUUGACUGGUAAUCAUUUAAAGCAAAUGUGUUUUUCCUCCCAUCAUCAGUGCCGAGAAUGCUGUUUUUUUUUUUUAAAUAAGCACUACAGGUGAUGCUUUGUGUCUUCAAAGAAAAUGUCUCUGCUACCCUCCCUGGGAACCCCUUGGGGAAAGUUGACAUCGAUUUAUUUUGGUUUACUGUAAAUAAAUAUUACACAGCAGG